rnacentral:rRNA from 1 species
UACGUAGGGGGCGAGCGUCGUCCGGAUUCAUUGGGCGUAAAGAGCUCGUAGGCGGCUUGGCAAGUCGGAUGUGAAAACUCCAGGCUCAACCUGGAGCCGCCAUUCGAUACUGCUAUGGCUAGAGUCCGGUAGGGGAGUGUGGAAUUCCCGGUGUAGCGGUGAAAUGCGCAGAUAUCGGGAGGAACACCGAUGGCGAAGGCAGCACUCUGGGCCGGUACUGACGCUGAGGAGCGAAAGCGUGGGGAGCGAACAGG